rnacentral:rRNA from 1 species
CGCCCGUCGCUCCUACCGAUUGGAUGAGUUGGUGAGUGGAUUGGAGUAACAGCUAUCUUCCUGUAAGAUUGUUGUAUUUUUUUAAAAUUUGCAAACUAGAUUAUCUAGAGGAAGGAGAAGUCGUAACAAGGUUUCC